rnacentral:rRNA from 1 species
UCUUCUUCGGAAGGGGAGGGAGUGGCGGACGGGUGAGUAACACAUGGGUACCUGCCUCCAAGUGAGGAAUACCCCCGGGAAACCGGGGACAAGACCGCAUAGCCUCGGCAACGAGGAAAGCCGCAAGGCGCUUGGAGAGGGGCCUGUGGCCGAUUAGCUAGCUGGUGGGGUAAAGGCUCACCAGGGCGACGAUCGGUAGCUGGUCUGAGAGGACGAGCAGCCACACUGGGAUUGAGAACGGCCCAGACUCCUACGGGGGGCAGCAGUGAGGAAUUUUCCGCAAUGGGGGAAACCCUGACGGAGCAACGCCGCGUGCAGGAAGACGGCCUUCGGGUUGUAAACUGCUUUUCUGGGGGACGAGCAACGACGGUACCCCAGGAAGAAGCCCCGGCUCACUACGUGCCAGCAGCCGCGGUAAUACGUAGGGGGCGAGCGUUGUCCGGAGUUACUGGGCGUAAAGCGUCCGCAGGCGGUGACGCGCGUGUUCGGUG